ACUCAGUCAGAGUCUGCAGCAUAGCACUUCUUAGGACAGCAUAGGAACUUCUUCCAAAAGAAAGGCCAAAGAAAGCGAGCAGGUUGAGACAGCAGUGAAUGAGGUGGAGAGAGCAGAACAGCCGGAGAGUCAAAGUGCAGCAGCAGCAGCAGCAGAGUUAGCCACAGAUGAGCCAAGGAGGAUAACAGAUGAGAACAACAGGCCAGUGGAGCACUUAGAACAGCAGCAGUCAGGGGCAACUGGUAGGGAAGAGGAUGAUUUAGGUGACCCAGACAUAGGCCCAAAACAAGUUAAGCUACCCCAGUAUCCCCUUGACCAUUUUGGAUAGCGAAACUAAAGAGAUGCACCAGACAAGACACAGGCAGCAACAGAAGAGUAAAUGAUGGAGAGGGACACGAGACAAGACACAGAGAUAGCAACAGAAGAGUAGGAUAUGAUGGAGAAACACACACCAGACAAGACACAUAUAGGUAGCAACAGAAGAGUAAAUGAUGGAGAGACAAGAGGCAAGACACAGAGAUAGCAAAAGAAGAAUAGGAUAUGAUGGAGCGAGACACCAGAAGAACGGAACAGGCCAUAACAGAAGAAGGAAGACAAAGAAGACAUUAACGGCAACGGACAAGACACAGAUAAAGUGACAAGAGGGCAGAUGGAGAGAGAACAGAGGUCGGCAUGGAUCAAGGGUCUGGUGCACAUUUUCACGCACCCUCUUUCCACAGAACAAAUAACUGCAACAGAGAGGAGAGAGAUGCUGCUCAAUCUUGGUGGCACCAUACAUGGGGCGCAGGGGGUUGAUGAUGUGGUUGUUCCAGCGGAACUUCAUCCCAGUCACCUCGUCAAUGUCCGUCUCAGCAUCGAUGAAGAGCUUGUACUGUAGGUUUUAUUAGGUCUCAGGAGGCCACUUUAGGAAAGAGCAGAACAUUUUCAUUCCUUUAGUCAGUUUAGAUUGGGGCAGGGUCAGUCAGUUGUCCUAUGAAUAGAUCUUUCUGUUAUUCAAGUUCAACAGUCUUCAGAAAUCCAAAUGAUUUUAUGGGCUAUGAUGUUGACACUUACAAUUAGAAGAAUGAAAUAGAAAUGAAACAAUUGAAAACAUGUGUGUGACAUAACAUCUCAACUCGUCUAUAAGCUAGUUUAUAUCAGGAGUAGUCACAUACAGUACAUGUAAACCUGAUACUGGCGGGUGUUGCCAUGCUCUUCAUACAGAGCUAUAUGUUCAUUAUCCCUGGUUGGGAUCUUCUGCCAUCGAUGGUUACAUUUGCAUUGUAGCGGU